rnacentral:lncRNA from 1 species
AAAAAUAUGACAUCUUUUCUGGUAAAAAAGAGUUUAUAUAAUUCAUAAUUAGUUACUAAAAUAUUUAAUGUUUACAUAACUUGGUUUGCAGUUCAAUCCGUGGAACUAAUCAUCAAUAGUUUUCUUAACAAAUUCUCUUAUUAUACUAAUUAAUUCUACAAUACGAGAACUUUUCUAACAUGAAAGCUUUUCAUAUUAUUCUGAAUACAAUAUCUUCAUAAUAAAUUCCAUCACCGUAAAAUACAAUUACAUAUUAUAAAAUUAAAAAAAAAAUUGUCGACAAUUAAAAAAUAUUUAAAAUUGAGGAUUAUAUAAAUUAGAAAAAAUUCUCUAUAAUAAAUAUUUUUAAUUUAUUUUCACAAAAUAGUGUUUAAAGAAAAAAUGACAAAAAGAAAAUUUAUUAAAAAUAAAAAUAUAUUUAUACCUUAAAAUCUAAUUUAAAUUUAAGGUUUAGAGAUAAAGGGUGUGGUUUUGAUUAUAGAGAUUCAAAUAUUUUAAAUAAAAAAUAAAAAUUAAUUUUUUCAAAAUAAAAAUAAUAAUUUUUGAUUAUUUUUUUCAUUGAGAAUUAUUUUUGUGAUAAUUGUUUUAAAAAAAUGUUAUUUAAGAUAAUUACCCUAUAAUUUACUUAAAAUCCGAAGAAGAUAAAAUGAAAAAUCUCUACUAAUAAAAGGGAGCUUUUGAGGCUCCAUAUGACGUCCACAUCAGCGGAAAAAAUUUCUCCCAAAAGAUGACACGUGGCAUAAAAUAUAGUUUUACAUUUUAAUAUUAAUUAUUUUCGAAAAUUGUAAAAAAUAUGUAAACAUAAAGCAUUAAAAAAUGAAAAACUACAUUAAACAUAUGUAAGAUUACUAUUUUUCACUUAAAAAAAAAGAUGGCUUAUCUCCAUAAUGUAACACUACCGUUUUAUAAAAAAAAAAACAAAAAACAUUAUAUAUAAUUUCGAAAAUAAUAAUUAUAUGUAAAACAUACAACAUAAAAAUGGAAAUACUACAAUAAACAUAAAUAUGUUUGACUAUUUGUCCAAGUUCUUCUAUUAAACAUUGCCGUUUUACAUUAAAAAUAGAAAAAUACGUAAAAAUUUAAACAUCUAUCUUAAAAUAUAAAAUAUAGACAUUAACUAAAUAUAAAGUAUAAAAAAGAGAAAUACUCAAUAUAUAAAAAAAUAAUAAGUAAAUAUUAUAAAUAUAUAAAUAUACGAAUCAUAUAUACAAUAAUAAGUAAAUGCACAAUUUUUUAAAAAUGAAAAGAGUAUAUUAAAUAUUAAACAUCUGUCUUAAAAUGUAAAAUAUAGAUAUUAAGUAAAUAGAAAAUAUAAGAAAAAGAAAUAAACAACUUAAAAACAAUGAAAAAAGUAUAUUAAGAUUUAAACAUCUAUCUUAAAAUGUAAAAUAUAGAUAUUACGCAAAUAGAAAGUAUAAGAAAAGGAAAUACACAAUUUAAAAAAAAAUGGAAAAAGUACAUUAGUAUUUAAACAUCUAUCUUAAAAUGUAAAUCAAUCUUAAAAUAUAAAAUUAUUAGUAAAUAGAAAGUAUAAGAAAUAAAAAUACACAAUAUAAAGAAAAAUAAAUAAUAAGUAAAUAUAUAAUAUAAUCUCGAAAGAUGACACGUGACAUUAAACAUAUGUAAGAUUACUAUUUUUCACUUAAAAAAAAGACGGCUUAUCUCCAUAAUGUAACAUUACCGUUUUAUAAAAAAAAAAUAAAAAACAUUAUAUAUAAUUUUGAAAAUAAUAAAUAUAUGUAAAACAUACAACAUAAAAAUGGAAAUACUACAAUAAACAUAAAUAUGUUUGACUAUUUGUCCAAGUUCUUCUAUUAAACAUUGUCGUUUUACAUUAAAAAUAGAAAAAUACGUAAAGAUUUAAACAUCUAUCUUAAAAUAUAAAAUAUAGACAUUAACUAAAUAUAAAGUAUAAAAAAGAGAAAUACUCAAUAUAUAAAAAAAAUAAUAAGUAAAUAUUAUAAAUAUACGAAUUAUAUAUAAAAUAAUAAGUAAAUGCACAAUUUUUUAAAAAUGGAAAGAGUAUAUUAAAUAUUAAACAUCUAUCUUAAAAUGUAAAAUAUAGAUAUUAAGUAAAUAGAAAAUAUAAGAAAAAGAAAUACACAACUUAAAAACAAUGAAAAAAGUAUAUUAAGAUUUAAACAUCUAUCUUAAAAUGUAAAAUAUAGAUAUUACGCAAAUAGAAAGUAUAAGAAAAGGAAAUACACAAUUUAAAAAAAUAGAAAAAGUACAUUAGUAUUUAAACAUCUAUCUUAAAAUGUAAAUCAAUCUUAAAAUAUAAAAUUAUUAGUAAAUAGAAAGUAUAAGAAAUAAAAAUACACAAUAUAAAGAAAAAUAAAUCAUAAGUAAAUAUAUAGUAUAAUCUCGAAAGAUGACACGUGGCAUAAAAUAUAGUUUUACAUUUUAAUAUUACUUAUUUUUGAAAAUUAUAAAAAAUAUGUAAACAUACAGCAUAAAAAAAUGGAAAAACUACAUUAAACAUAUGUAAGAUUACUAUUUUUCACUUAAAAAAAAGACGGCUUAUCUCCAUCAUGUAACAUUACCGUUUUAUACAAACAACAAAAAACAUUAUAUAUAAUUUUAAAAAUAAUAAAUAUAUGUAAAACAUACAACAUAAAAAUGGAAAUACUACAUUAAACAUAUGUAAGAUUACCAUUUUACAUUUUUAUUUUAAGAAAAUAAUAUGUAAACAUACAACAUAAAAAAUAAAAAAACUACAUUAAACAUAUGUAAGAUUACCAUUUUUCACUAAAAAAAAGACGGCUUAUCUCCAUAAUUUAACAUUACUAUUUUGUAAAAAAGAAAAUUAUAUAUAAUUUCGAAAAUAAUAAAUAAUAUGUAAACAUACACCAUA